rnacentral:rRNA from 1 species
GGAGUGGGGGAUAACGUAGCGAAAGUUACGCUAAUACCGCAUACGAUCUAAGGAUGAAAGUGGGGGAUUCGCAAGGACCUCAUGCUCCUGGAGCGGCCGAUAUCUGAUUAGCUAGUUGGUAGGGUAAAAGCCUACCAAGGCAUCGAUCAGUAGCUGGUCUGAGAGGACGACCAGCCACACUGGAACUGAGACACGGUCCAGACUCCUACGGGAGGCAGCAGUGGGGAAUUUUGGACAAUGGGCGCAAGCCUGAUCCAGCAAUGCCGCGUGAGUGAAGAAGGCCUUCGGGUUGUAAAGCUCUUUUGUCAGGGAAGAAACGGAUUUUUCUAAUACAGAGAUCUAAUGACGGUACCUGAAGAAUAAGCACCGGCUAACUACGUGCCAGCAGCCGCGGUAAUACGUAGGGUGCAAGCGUUAAUCGGAAUUACUGGGCGUAAAGCGUGCGCAGGCGGUUUUGUAAGACUGUCGUGAAAUCCCCGGGCUCAACCUGGGAAUGGCGAUGGUGACUGCAAGGCUAGAGUUUGGCAGAGGGGGGUAGAAUUCCACGUGUAGCAGUGAAAUGCGUAGAUAUGUGGAGGAACACCGAUGGCGAAGGCAGCCCCCUGGGUCAAAACUGACGCUCAUGCACGAAAGCGUGGGGAGCAAACAGGAUUAGAUACCCUGGU